GCGGGUAUGGUUCAAUGGGAGAACGUCAGCCUUCCAAGCUGAACACAGGGGUUCGAUUCCCCUUACCCGCUCCA
rnacentral:tRNA from 1 species